rnacentral:rRNA from 1 species
UACAGAGGGGGCAAGCGUUAUUCGGAAUUAUUGGGCGUAAAGGGCGCGUAGGCGGUUCUUCAAGUCUCUCGUGAAAUCCCUCGGCUUAACUGAGGACGUGCGGGAGAUACUGAAGGGCUUGAGUCCAGAAGAGGGUGGUGGAAUUCCCAGUGUAGCGGUGAAAUGCGUAGAUAUCAGGAGGAACACCGGUGGCGAAGGCGCCCACCUGGCCUGCUACUGACGCUGAUGCUCGAAAGCGUGGGGAGCAAACAGG